CCUGCGAAGGCAAGCGGAUCUCUUAAAGCCGUCUCAGUUCGGACUGUAGGCUGCAACUCGCCUACACGAAGCUGGAAUCGCUAGUAAUCGCGGAUCAGCACGCCGCGGUGAAUACGUUCCCGGGCCUUGUACACACCGCCCGUCACACCAUGAGAGUCUGUAACACCCAAAGCCGGUGGGAUAACCUUUAUAGGAGUCAGCCGUCUAAGGUAGGACAGAUGAUUAGGGUGAAGUCGUAACAAGGUAUC
rnacentral:rRNA from 1 species